CACAAACCACCCUCUCCACGCCCAGAACCAAACAUAGGAGACGCCAUGGGACGGGGGGAUUGAGAAGAAGAUAGAACAGGAACGGCCAUGGAAGAGGAGCAUCAAGGCCCAGCAAACAGCACAAAGACACAUGGCAGAGAGAGGUGUACCUGGAGAGAACACAGAGGGGAGAUCUGCCACUAAUUGCUGGACUCUACAUGAAGAACAUCCAAGAAAGGAUCCAUAGAUGGAAAGCAAGCACAUAACGUUCACAGAGGAGCAAUUUCUCUCAAUGUCACAAGAAGAACUGAUCCUAAAUGUGAUUUGCAUUAGCAAAAAUAAGUCAAAAACUUGAAGGAAAAUCUAUAUACAUGUUAUUGAAAAGUUCAAAUACUACUGCAGGAUACAUUUUCAUUCACUGCGCUUCUACAAUCUGACAUUAUAUACAAGGCUCAUUUAGUGAAUUCGCCUGUGAAUACAUACCAGCCUUUUGAUCGAUCGUUGCCAGGGAACAAUAAUGGAUCUUCCAUCCAUACCUCGCUGCUUGAUUGCAUCAACCUUGCAGUAGUACGCAUCUGGUGAUGUUUGUACUAUUUAUGCAUUUGAAGUCACGUGUUGCUUUUACCCAAUAAUAUAAUGUACGUGUGGUGUUUACACGCGAAUGUAUUGUAGACCUUUGUAUGUGUAUAAGUGAAUUUUUAGUUCACAAGUAUAAUGGUCGAUGUCAUAGUGGUACACAAGAACCUUUGUUCGAUUGUCAAUUUGAUUGAAAAAAUGAGAUCCCGAGUAUUG